rnacentral:lncRNA from 1 species
GCCGAGACGCCGUGCGCGGUGAAGACGCAACUGACGGGUGGGGCCUCCCCAUCAGCGUCUAGCAGAGAGAGGGGAGGGGGCCGGUUCAGCGCCCGUGUGGGCCGGCCUGCGGGCCAUUUAGCCGGGCCCCUUCCGGUUUCAAACUGUUUUUCUUUUUCUUUUUGUUUUAAAGGUGCCUUAUGUUUGAAUUUGUGUGAAAAAUUGUGCACAGAUUCAAAAAUCAUGGGAAUUUUUAUGCACGUUCUAUGAAAUAAGCAGAACACAUGAAAAAUAUUAAGUUUCAUUUUCUGAUAUUUUGAGCAUGUGUAAAAAUUUUGUUCUUUAGCUAAUAAGUAGAAUUUCCAUGAUUUUUAGGAAUUUAUUAAUAUGUCUAAAAAUCACCAAAAAUUUGUAGGGAGUCUCUGAAUUUUAUCCCCUGGCUUCACACAAAAUUUGGUGGCAUUUGGAUA